rnacentral:rRNA from 1 species
GAUGAACGCUAGCGGGAGGCUUAAUACAUGCAAGUCGAACGGUAACAUAGGAGCUUGCUCCUGAUGACGAGUGGCGCACGGGUGAGUAACGCGUACACGACCUACCUUAAACUGGGGGACAUACACUGGAAACGGAGUAAAUACCCCAUGUGAUUGAUAUUUCUAAAAGGAUCAAUUAAAGUUUCGGCGGUUUAAGAUGGGUGUGCGUACUAUUAGGUAGUUGGUGAGGUAACGGCUCACCAAGCCGACGAUAGUUAGGGGGCGUGAGAGCGUGACCCCCCACACGGGUACUGAGACACGGACCCGACUCCUACGGGAGGCAGCAGUAAGGAAUAUUGGACAAUGGGCGAAAGCCUGAUCCAGCCAUCCCGCGUGCAGGAUGAAUGCCCUCUGGGUAGUAAACUGCUUUUAUAUACCAAGAAUAGCAGUCAUUAAUGAUUGUAUGACGGUAGUAUAUGAAUAAGCACCGGCUAACUCCG